GGAUUAGAUACCCUGGUAGUCCACGCCGUAAACGAUGUCAACUAGCCGUUGGGUCCAUCUAAGGGCUUAGUGGCGCAGCUAACGCGAUAAGUUGACCGCCUGGGGAGUACGGCCGCAAGGUUAAAACUCAAAGGAAUUGACGGGGGCCCGCACAAGCGGUGGAGCAUGUGGUUUAAUUCGAUGCAACGCGAAGAACCUUACCAGCUCUUGACAUCCAGUGAACUUUCCAGAGAUGGAUUGGUGCCUUCGGGAACACUGUGACAGGUGCUGCAUGGCUGUCGUCAGCUCGUGCCG
rnacentral:rRNA from 1 species